rfam:Anaerosporomusa subterraneum strain RT4 RT4_contig_8, whole genome shotgun sequence.
UCCGCCGUGAGGUGGAAUCUGAAGGAAGCCGGCGGCAAAGAUCCAGUCUGAGGAACACGCACCACAUAUAAGGCAUAAGUCUGCGGGCGAGUUUGCAAUACAAAACGAAGCCCUAUCUUGUAAUGCUCAUAAAAAAAGUCCGUACCACAUCAAAGUGGUGCGGAC